rnacentral:miRNA from 1 species
AGAGCGUGGUCCAGGUGUGCAC